rnacentral:lncRNA from 1 species
GGCAUAUUGUUUACCAGAGUUGAUAUGGCGUAUCUUUCACUCGAGCUGACAUUUCAUAAAUUAUUCGUGGCUAAAAUAGUAUAAACAUUAAUUGUGUUUUGGUUUCUUUCAGUUAAAAAUACUAGUGAAAUCGCUAGUGUUUGGCAUACAUGUUUGAUAGAGUACGCACUUAAUAAUAAUAAUAAAUAUAAAAAUAGGUCACACACUUGAAUUGGGAAAAAUAUGGUCACUCACUUGAUAAUUAAAAAUAGAAAAAAAUGC